GAGGGUGUAGCUCAGUGGUAGAGUGCAUGCCUAGCAUGCAUGAGGUCCUGGGUUCAAUCCCCAGUGCCCCA
rnacentral:tRNA from 1 species